rnacentral:lncRNA from 1 species
CACGAUCUGCGAGAUGGAGUCGUCGCCACCUCUCGUUCUUCCUAUGGAGGGCUGAUCUCGAGCAUGUUUUUGCCUCCGGAGAGGGGGAUUCGUCGCCGUUGUCAUCACGAACCCUUCUGCAUCAAUAAUUCCAUGAUGCUCACCACCGGGAGUGAGUAAUUUCUUAGCAGGCUAGUUGAUCGGUGAUAGGGUUUGUAUGACAUUGAUCAUGUAAUCGAGUUAAGUUGAUAUGGCUUGAUUCCUAGUAUCCAUUAUGUUCUGAGAUUGAUGUUGCUAUGACUUUGCUAUGCUUAAUGCUUGUCACUAGUGCCCAAGUGUCAUGAUUUCAGACCUAAACUUAUUGUGUUCUCUCCGAAUAUGAAAAGUGUUUAGAUCCUAUCUUGCAAGUUGUAUGCACCUAUUACGUGUCUUGAUCCGCAUACCCCAAGGUGACAUUAAUUGAGAUUUUUUCGGUGAUUGUCGUAUUUUGAGGAGUUCAUGUAUUCAUCAUGUGUUAAUGCUUUAUUCCCUUUCUCUAUUAAAAGGAGGCCUUAAUAUUCCUUAGUUUCCAAUAGGACCAC